GACAGAGGCCUCGAGCGUUAGGCGGAAUCACUGGGCUUAAAGCGCGUGUAGGCGGAUCGUUAAGUGCCUUGUGAAAUCCUGCGGCUCAACCGCAGAACUGCUGGGCAUACUGGGCGAUCUUGGGCCACUCAGGGGUCACUGGAACAAGCGGUGGAGCGGUGAAAUGCGUAGAUAUCGCUUGGAACGCCAAAGGGUGAAGACAGG
rnacentral:rRNA from 1 species